AUUGAACGCUGGCGGCAUGCCUUACACAUGCAAGUCGAACGGCAGCACGGGGGCAACCCUGGUGGCGAGUGGCGAACGGGUGAGUAACAUAUCGGAACGUGCCCUGGAGUGGGGGAUAACUAGUCGAAAGAUUAGCUAAUACCGCAUACGAUCUACGGAUGAAAGUGGGGGAUCGCAAGACCUCAUGCUCGUGGAGCGGCCGAUAUCUGAUUAGCUAGUUGGGGGGUAAAGGCCUACCAAGGCAUCGAUCAGUAGCUGGUCUGAGAGGACGACCAGCCACACUGGGACUGAGACACGGCCCAGACUCCUACGGGAGGCAGCAGUGGGGAAUUUUGGACAAUGGGCGCAAGCCUGAUCCAGCAAUGCCGCGUGAGUGAAGAA
rnacentral:rRNA from 1 species